GAGUUGGGCCUGCUCGGUGAAACGUUUUAACAGCUGCGGUAUUUUAACUGUACUAAGGUAGCAUAAUAAUUUGCCUUAUAAUUUGAGGCUAGAAUGAAUGGUUUGACGAAGGUUAAUCUGUCUCUGCUUUAUUUUUUAGAAAUUAAUUUUCAUAGUGAAAAAGCUUGAAUUUCUUAAGGGGACGAGAAGACCCUACUGAGCUUAUAAUUUUAUUAUCACAUAUAUUUAUGUAUAAUGUGCUAUAUAAAUUUUAAUUGGGGUGAUUAAGGAAUAAUAUAGCUAUUUUAUAACUUCCUUAGAUAUUAUAUUGUUGAAUUAAGUAACCGAUUAAUUAAUAGAAUUGUAUUAUGUAUUGCUUAUAAUAUAGUUACCAUAGGGAUAACAGCGUAAUUUACUUAGAGAGUUCUUAUUGAAAAGUAAGAUUGCGACCUCGAUGUUGGAUUAAAGUGACCUUAAGGUGCAGAAGCUUUAUGAGGUAAAUCUGUUCGAUUUUUAAAACUUU
rnacentral:rRNA from 1 species